rnacentral:rRNA from 1 species
GACGAACGCUGGCGGCGUGCCUAAUACAUGCAAGUAGAACGCUGAAGAGAGGAGCUUGCUCUUCUUGGAUGAGUUGCGAACGGGUGAGUAACGCGUAGGUAACCUGCCUUGUAGCGGGGGAUGACUAUUGGAAACGAUAGCUAAUACCGCAUAACAAUGGAUGACACAUGUCAUUUAUUUGAAAGGGGCAAUUGCUCCACUACAAGAUGGACCUGCGUUGUAUUAGCUAGUAGGUGAGGUAAUGGCUCACCUAGGCGACGAUACAUAGCCGACCUGAGAGGGUGAUCGGCCACACUGGGACUGAGACACGGCCCAGACUCCUACGGGAGGCAGCAGUAGGGAAUCUUCGGCAAUGGGGGCAACCCUGACCGAGCAACGCCGCGUGAGUGAAGAAGGUUUUCGGAUCGUAAAGCUCUGUUGUAAGUCAAGAACGGGUGUGAGAGUGGAAAGUUCACACUGUGACGGUAGCUUACCAGAAAGGGACGGCUAACUACGUG